CAUCUCAGCAUUUGUUUUCCAGAGUAUGAUGGUAACAACUCCCAUGAGGAUGCGGGGAAUUACAUCAAGAGCCAGUUCCUUGACCUCAGUAUGCAACAAGAUAUCAAAAGAAUUUACAGUCACAUGACCUGUGCUACAGAUACACAGAAUAUCAAAUUUGUGUUUGAUGCAGCUACACAGAUAUUAUUAUCAAAGAAAACCUCAAGGACUGCGGCCUCU
rnacentral:lncRNA from 1 species